AAAGUCAGCUUUAGGGUGCCACCAGACGCAGACAGCUUGGACUACCAGAAUCAAGCACUCUUUUGGAAGAGGGUAAUCUCCCUCCAAAAACUGAGAACGCUUACCUUCCUCAUAUAUUGAGUCCAGCUGUGCUUGGUGGCCCAGGUAAUAAUUUCAAGAUGCCAGGAUUUUCCAAUUCAAAUUCAGGUUCAACUGGUUUCAUCUCCUUCAGUGGUGUAGAGUCUGCUCUCUCCUCCUUGGAAAAACUUCCAAGCCUGUGUCACCUCUGGUAUGGACACAGCUUCUAGUGUUGCUUUGGAUCUUGUGGAAAGUCAGACUGAAGUGAGUAGUGAAUAUAGUAUGGACAAGGCGAUGGUUGAAUUUGCUACAAUGGAUCGGCAACUGAACCAUUAUGUAAAGGCUGUUCAAUCUACAAUAAAUCAUGUAAAAUAAGAACGUCCAGAAAAAAUACCAGAUUUAAAAUUAUUGGUGGAGAAGAAAUUUUUGGCUUUACAGAGCAAGAAUUCUGAUGUGGACUUUCAAAAUAAUGGAAAAUUGUUAGUGUUUAAACAACAGUUGAAAGAACUAAAGAAGCAAUAUGGCCUUCAAGCUGACAGAGAGGCUGACGGAACAGAAGGAGUGGAUGAAGAUAUGAUUGUGACCCAAAGUCAAACCAACUUCAUCUGCCCCAUUACACAGUUGGAAAUGAAGAAGCCAGUGAAAAAUAAAGUGUGUGGCCACACCUAUGAAGAGGAAGACAUUGUUUGCAUUAUUGAGUCCAAGCACAAGCAGAAGAAAAAGGCCUGUUGCCCUAAAAUUGGCUGUAGUCACAUAGGUGUAAGAAAGUCGAAUCUCAUCCAGGAUGAAGUACUUAGAAGGACGAUUGAGAACCAUAACAAGAAAAGACUUCAUUCCAAAUAG